rnacentral:rRNA from 1 species
AGUGAACGCUGGCGGUAGGCCUAACACAUGCAAGUCGAACGGCAGCACAGUAAGAGCUUGCUCUUACGGGUGGCGAGUGGCGGACGGGUGAGGAAUACAUCGGAAUCUACUUUUUCGUGGGGGAUAACGUAGGGAAACUUACGCUAAUACCGCAUACGACCUACGGGUGAAAGCAGGGGAUCUUCGGACCUUGCGCGAUUGAAUGAGCCGAUGUCGGAUUAGUUAGUUGGCGGGGUAAAGGCCCACCAAGGCGACGAUCCGUAGCUGGUCUGAGAGGAUGAUCAGCCACACUGGAACUGAGAAACGGUCCAGACUCCUACGGGAGGCAGCAGUGGGGAAUACUGGACAAUGGGCGAAAGCCUGAUCCAGCCAUACCGCGUGGGUGAAGAAGGCCUUCGGGUUGUAAAGCCCUUUUGUUGGGAAAGAAAAGCAGCAGGUUAAUACCCCGCUGUUCUGACGGUACCCAAAGAAUAAGCACCGGCUAACUUCGUG